rnacentral:rRNA from 1 species
CCGACACAGGUGGAUGAGGAGAGAAUCCUAAGGCCGGCGGGAGAAGCAUUGUUAAGGAACUCGGCAAAAUGACCCCGUAACUUCGGGAGAAGGGGUGCUCCAGAGAUGGAGCCGCAGAGAACUGGCCCAAGCAACUGUUUAGCAAAAACACAGGUCUAUGCAAAACCGAAAGGUGAGGUAUAUGGGCUGACGCCUGCCCGGUGCUGGAAGGUUAAGAGGAGAUGUUAAUCGCAAGGUGAAGCAUUGAAUUUAAGCCCCAGUAAACGGCGGCCGUAACUAUAACGGUCCUAAGGUAGCGAAAUUCCUUGUCGGGUAAGUUCCGACCCGCACGAAAGGCGUAAUGAUUUGGGCACUGUCUCGACAAUGCACCCGGUGAAAUUGAAAUACCAGUGAAGAUGCUGGUUACCUGCGCCAGGACGGAAAGACCCCAUGGAGCUUUACUCUAGCUUGAUACUGGGGUUCGGUAUUGCAUGUACAGGAUAGGUGGGAGACUGAGAAGAUGUGUCGCCAGAUGCAUCAGAGUCGAUGUUGGGAUACCACCCCUGCAGUACUGGGCUUCUAACCUGCAGCCGUGACCCGGCUGGGGGACAAUGUCAGGUGGGGAGUUUGACUGGGGCGGUCGCCUCCGAAAGAGUAUCGGAGGCGCUCAAAGGUUCCCUCAGAAUGGUUGGAAACCAUUCGAAGAGCGCAAAGGCAGAAGGGAGCUUGACUGCGACACCGACGGGUGGAGCAGGUACGAAAGUAGGACUUAGUGAUCCGGUGGUAUGAAAGUGGGAUUGCCAUCGCUCAACGGAUAAAAGCUACCCUGGGGAUAACAGGCUUAUCACUCCCAAGAGUUCACAUCGACGGAGUGGUUUGGCACCUCGAUGUCGGCUCAUCGCAUCCUGGGGCUGUAGUAGGUCCCAAGGGUUGGGCUGUUCGCCCAUUAAAGCGGUACGCGAGCUGGGUUCAGAACGUCGUGAGACAGUUCGGUCCCUAUCCGGCGUGGGCGUAGGAUAUCUGAGAGGAGCUGUCCUUAGUACGAGAGGACCGGGAUGGACUGACCUCUGGUGCACCGGUUGCAUUGCCAAAUGCAUAGCCGGGUAGCCAAGUCGGGACGGGAUAAACGCUGAAGGCAUCUAAGCGUGAAGCCCCCCUCAAGAUGAGAUAUCCCAUAACAUAAGUUAGUAAGACCCCUUGAAGACGACGAGGUAGAUAGGCAGAAGGUGGAAGUGUGGUGACAUAUGGAGCUGAUCUGUACUAAUAGGUCGAGGGCUUAACCAA